rnacentral:lncRNA from 1 species
UCCUUUCUUACCAUCCAUCCCCAUUAGAGUAAAACAAUGUCACACAGAAGCUCACUCACUAUUAUAAUGAAACAUGAUAAAUUAGAAGCCUUGAUAAAUUAAUAGGAUUCAAACAAAGUAGAAUAACAUGAUUCAAACAAAUUAGUAGGAUUCAUAUUAGUUUCUUGGUUCAAAAAUCAAAACAGAAGCUCAUUCACCAUGAUUCAAACAAAGUAACAUGGAAAUGAAACACACAAGUUGAACAAAUAGAAUAACAUGAUAAAUUAGUAGGAUUCAUAUGUUUUUUUGCAUUUUGAACAAAUUGAACAGAUACUAAAAAAUCUGAAGCGAACCAUUUACAACAAAAAAAACCAUGAGUGUUAUAUUAUAUUGUCACUUUAAAACAAUUCUCCAAUCAAUUUCACAACACAGACAUAUCAUUAGGACCCUCAAUUGCAUAUUCAAUCAACCAAUUUAUCACA